rnacentral:rRNA from 1 species
GACUCUCGGCAACGGAUAUCUUGGCUCUUGCAUCGAUGAAGAACGUAGCGAAAUGCGAUACUUGGUGUGAAUUGCAGAAUCCCGUGAACCAUUGAGUCUUUGAACGCAAGUUGCGCCCUAGGCCCUAUGGUCGAGGGCAUGCCUGCCUGGGCGUCA